GCCCGGGUGGUCUAGUUGGCUAUGAUUCUCGCUUAGGGCCUUAACCCUAAGUACUUUUAUGCGAGAGGUCCCGCGUUCGAAUCGCGGCUCGGGCC